CAUUGCUACCAUCAUUGACGUCCUCAUCACUAACGAGGCCUAGACUCCGAUUCUCUCUUUUCUUCUCCGAAAUACUCUUGUGUAUUUCAAAUUCAGAGCCAAAAUCUGGUCAAAGAGAAACAACAACCCGAAAUUCAGCCCGAUCGACCAACUAUUGAUGAGAGGUCUUUAAAGAUUGUAGUCUUCUUCGCUUCAUAGUGAAGAAAUGCAUAGUCGGGGACCGAAUCACCGGCUAUUUGGUUCGGCUUUCAGAUCUCAAGUUUUGGUUCUCAUGCUAGCCAUGUUGACACCAUGGCAUGGAUUUACGUUGUCAGCCGGCUACGGCUGGAUUAUGAGAAUGGGGCUUAUUUGAUUAAAGGCUGGAUAGGAGAACUAGUCAGGUAUGUUUUUUUAUCUUUACUUUUAUGUAUUACCAUUUGUUAUUCAAUUGUAGCUUCAAAUUUUCUUCCCCACAGUUUGUUAAUGCAUUUUUUGGGACUAUUUUGUUAUCGAGAUUAAAUUAUAGAAUUAUAAUGAUACAAAGGGGGUCUUGACAUUGUA